rnacentral:rRNA from 1 species
CCUACGGGGGGCAGCAGUGGGGGAUAUUGCACAAUGGGGGGAACCCUGAUGCAGCGACGCCGCGUGGGUGAAGAAGCGCCUCGGCGCGUAAAGCCCUGUCAGCAGGGAAGAAAAUGACGGUACCUGAAGGAGAAGCCCCGGCUAACUACGUGCCAGCAGCCGCGGUAAUACGUAGGGGGCAAGCGUUAUCCGGAUUUACUGGGUGUAAAGGGGGCGCAGACGGCGAUGCAAGCCAGGAGUGAAAGCCCGGGGCCCAACCCCGGGACUGCUCUUGGAACUGCGUGGCUAGAGUGCAGGAGGGGCAG